UGGCCAUAUUAAGUGUUCUUAGGUCACAACAUGAUCAUGCAAAGGCAAAGGAACCACAUUUCACAUUUUUAUAUACAUAAAUUAUCCCUAAACCAUUUAAAACCAUUUAUCAAGCAACAUGCAAGUUAAAUCAAUAACUCAACUAUGUAACCAAUGCCUUUGAAAUAUUUACCACAGCACCCCCAUAGUCUUAGUAGCCUACCAUAAACAUUUCACAACAAUUGGAGCAACACAACUCUAGAUAUGAAUUUAUCUCUAAUAAACAUUACAAAGAAAAGAAACAAUUACUAAUUCAAAUGGAAAGGCACAAGAAACAAACAUCCUCUCAGUUUAAACCUGCAGUCUUCUUCCUUGACGGGUCAUUUGCCGGGCCCAAAUGGCCAAUUGACAAUAAAUUACAAUAACUGCUACUUUCUAGCACCAUAGCUAGCUUCCUAGAUGCUACAACAAAUAUACUAGUAACUAAUACAUACAUAUGCAUACUAUAUACCAAGUAUAUUGCUACAUAUAACUAUCGGAUGCCCCUUAGUCCUAGGGGCCCAGAUCGGCUGCCCCUCUCGCCCCCCUCCAGGGCUGGGCCUGCCUGGGCCUGGGCCACGGCGUGUAACGCCCAAAAAUUUGAUUUCAAUUAUUAGGAAUUAAUUUGAUUUAUUUAAGUAUUGUUGUGAAUAUUUGGAAUCUAGUAAAUAAAUAAUUUUGUGGAAAUUAAAAUUCAUCAUAAGUUUAGAGACGUAGUUUUGCAUUCAUGCUAGAGCAUAGUUAUUUUUGUGAUGCUUGUUCUGUUUUUAUUUUAUUUAUUUUU
rnacentral:lncRNA from 1 species